rnacentral:rRNA from 1 species
UAGGGAAUAUUGGGCAAUGGGCGAAAGCCUGACCCAGCAACGCCGCGUGAGUGAAGAAGGUCUUCGGAUUGUAAAGCUCUUUGACGAGGGAAGACAAGAGGACGGUACCUCGAAAACAAGCCACGGCUAACUACGUGCCAGCAGCCGCGGUAAUACGUAGGUGGCAAGCGUUAUCCGGAAUUACUGGGUGUAAAGGGCGUGUAGGUGGGUAAGUAAGUCAGAAGUGAAAGACCACGGCUUAACCGUGGAAUUGCUUUUGAAACUGCAUAUCUUGAGUGAUGGAGAGGUAAUCGGAAUUCCUGGUGUAGCGGUGAAAUGCGUAGAUAUCAGGAGGAACACCGGUGGCGAAGGCGGAUUACUGGACAUUAACUGACACUGAGGCGCGAAAGCGUGGGGAGCAAACA